AGAAAUGGUAGAGUUCGCCGGAUAGGUUCUAUUUCUGGAGAGAGAGAGAGGUAGAUUUUUAUGUUUAUUAUUAAGUUAGUUUCAGCUUCUGAUAGCAGGUUAUUAAGAGUUUACUUGAGGAGAGGAUUACGGAAUUUUAGUCUAUAGUGGAGGAAGUCUUUGAGAUUUUUUUUUUGACGUAACAGAUGAUUAUUUGAGUAUACUUGUAAGGAUAAAGUUUAUAGUGAUAAGUUGUUUUAAGUCGUUGAGUUUAUCAGGGAUUUUUACGUGAGGAGAAUACGUUAUAAUUUAAAUGAUUAAUAGAGAUAAUGCAAGUGGUUUAAUUUAAUUGAAAUUAAUUUUAAGAUUGUAGGUUAAGAGAGUUAAAAUUUAAAAUAAAGUUUUUUUCGUAAAUAGGAAUUAUUUUCAAGAGAAGUUUGUUUUGUUUUCGUGCGCGUAGGAGACGAGACGUACGAAUUAAAUCAGUCGAGGGAAGGAUAAACGUUAGAAAGGAAUUAAAGAGAAAACGAGAGUUUAUGUAAAAGAGAGUUAUAGAAUUUAUAGUGAUGUUUUGUUUUAAUUAGAAAAAUGUUGAGAGUUGUUUCAGAACGACACGUCAGUGGACGUGGCAGAAUGAACACGUGACGGGGAGGUGCUGAGACCUAGCGGAGAACGGAGGAACCGCAAGCGAGGGUUGGCGCACCUGAUGGAAUUCGGUGACGUCACGAGCACGUACAGAGACGUGGACGGCCGUGACCUUGUUUUGAUCAGCUGUACGGUAACUUAGCGAUAAGAAAAUAGACUAUUGGUUAAAUAAAUUUAAAUUUAAGUGUGUUUUAGGAGAAGAGGAACUUUCAGUAUAUUCCUUAAGAUGAGCUGAGCAGCAGUCCAGUUUACAAGAUGACAAGAGUUCGAGAGACAAGAUACAAGAUCACUGAAACAAGAGCCAAGACUGAAGAUUCAAGAGAAGAGAAAGCUGGCAGCCAUGGACUUACAAGUGGAGAUUAAUAAGGUCAUGUAAAGUUUUAUUUUUUUUUAUGGAAGACAGUAACUGGAGUUUUUUUUUGUUAUAAACAUUAUUUACAGAACUUUUUAGGUUAUAGUAAGGUAAUGGAACUAGUGAGUUGUGGUAGCUGUCAAAAAGAACUAAUACCUUAAGUUUAAUUUUUAAAGUUAAUUUUCUUAAUUUACAGAGGGAUUAGUAGUUUUUUUUAAACCUUAUUUAGGUUGGAAUUUAAAUACAAUAGCUUAUUAUAAAUGUGUACGAACAGUUCAAGUUCACAGUACUGAUAGGUAGGUCAGAUGAUCUUAUUGAUUUUGAUGAUUUGUUGUUUUGAGUUGAUUUUUAAGUGUUGUGAAUUAGACAAUGAAAUAGUUCUGAAAACUUAAAUUAUUUCAAGCUAAGAAAUAGUAAAGUUAAUUGUAACUCAAAGGACACCAGAAUUUAAUUUUUUUUUAAUUAGUAAUGUUUGAAAAUUUUAUACUUUACAAGAAAGGUUAUAAACAAACAGAUCGGAUGGAACAAGGAUGCAGUAAAUCACAAUUUCAUUUAGAAUUAUUGAUUAGCUUUUGAGGUUAUGAAGUAAAAGUAAUUAUAGUUUAAAAGUUUGAAUAAAAAAAUGGUUUUUUUUUAAUUUGUUUGAAAUAGAAAGUUUAAAAGUUAAUUAGUCAUGAUCUAGGUGGGUGAUGGGGUGGGAAUUGGCCACUCUUUUUCCCUAUAACCUCCCUAACAUGGCCUUCUAUUACAUCUAACAGAAAAAAAAAAAAGAAGAAAAAGAAGACUUAUUAUUAGUUAGAAUGUUUUUUUAUGAAGAUACCUGAUGAACUUUUUUUUAUUGUUGGGAAGAAUAGUAGCAAGAUUAAUCAGAUGUUUUACUCAGAAGAAGAAGAAGAAGAAGAUAAAGCAGUUUUAUGACUCGACAAGCCAGAGAUUGGUGUUUCCCCUCUGCGCUUCUAUUGACUACGUUGUUUACUCUCAUGGGAUAGCUGGUUCGGCACCAUGGAGAGAGAUUGGUGGGCAUUGUGGUUGCCCCCAGAAGAAAAGAAGAGUAGAAGAGGUUAUGGGUGGGUCAUGUGAACUGACCUUCAACCCAGUUACUUCGUGGGGACUAUUUGCUGUAUAGAGAAGAUCAAGACUCAAGAGUUAGGGAAAAUCAUUGGAGGUCAUGUUUCCCUUCCUUAAGUUUUUCCUAUCAAAUUAUUUGCCUGAUUAGAUUAUGCUAAGGGUGGGAUACUUUAUGUUAGCAGUUGAAUUAAUUAAUUUUAUUUUUUGUGUGUUUGCAUCCUUGCCCAUCGAUUGCAGUUUAGUAGUUAGUUUUGUAUUUGUCAGGCGUGAUGGUAAUGCCUGUUGAUGAUGUUUCAGAAUUGUAAUCUGUUCGUGAUGAGGAUGGCACAACUCCGAAGCAGAUGUGGGGAGAAGUUGUGAGCUGCCCUGGAAGCCAGUCCAGUAGCUGUUGGAGUUGAGUGGUGUUUGCUGAUGGCCAGCCCAGGGAGCUACUCUUCUCGACAACACUGACUUCGAGGAGUUGCACCAACCUUCACGAGAUAAGAGUUUAAUUAAUUGAAACACUGUAAGGACACUUAAUUUUUUUUGAAGAACGAAAGAAGUAUGGUAAUAAACGGAAACCGAAAAAAAAAAAA